rnacentral:rRNA from 1 species
GAGUUUGAACCUGGCUCAGGAUGAACGCUGGCGGCGUGCCUAAUACAUGCAAGUCGAGCGAACCACUUCGGUGGUGAGCGGCGAACGGGUGAGUAACACGUAGGUGAUCUGCCCAUCAGACGGGGACAACGAUUGGAGACGAUCGCUAAUACCGGAUAGGACGAAAGUUUAAAGGUGCUUCUGGCACCGCUGAUGGAUGAGCCUGCGGCGCAUUAGCUAGUUGGUAGGGUAAAGGCCUACCAAGGCGACGAUGCGUAGCCGACCUGAGAGGGUGAACGGCCACACUGGGACUGAGACACGGCCCAGACUCCUACGGGAGGCAGCAGUAGGGAAUCUUCGGCAAUGGGCGAAAGCCUGACCGAGCAACGCCGCGUGAAUGAUGAAGGCCUUCGGGUUGUAAAAUUCUGUUAUAAGGGAAGAACGACUUUAGUAGGAAAUGGCUAGAGUGUGACGGUACCUUAUGAGAAAGCCACGGCUAACUACGUGCCAGCAGCCGCGGUAAUACGUAGGUGGCGAGCGUUAUCCGGAAUUAUUGGGCGUAAAGAGCGCGCAGGUGGUUGAUUAAGUCUGAUGUGAAAGCCCACGGCUUAACCGUGGAGGGUCAUUGGAAACUGGUCGACUUGAGUGCAGAAGA